rnacentral:rRNA from 1 species
GUCACUUACAGAUGGACCCGCGGCGCAUUAGCUAGUUGGUGGGGUAAUGGCUCACCAAGGCGACGAUGCGUANCCNACCUGAGAGGGUGAUCGGCCACACUGGGACUGAGAGACGAAAGUCUGACGGAGCAACGCCGCGUGAGUGAUGAAGGUUUUCGGAUCGUAAAGCUCUGUUGUUAGGGAAGAACAAGUGCGAGAGUAACUGCUCGCACCUUGACGGUACCUAACCAGAAAGCCACGGCUAACUACGUGCCAGCAGCCGCGGUAAUACGUAGGUGGCAAGCGUUGGAUCGUAAAGCUCUGUUGUUAGGGAAGAACAAGUGCGAGAGUAACUGCUCGCACCUUGACGGUACCUAACCAGAAAGCCACGGCUAACUACGUGCCAGCAGCCGCGGUAAUACGUAGGUGGCAAGCGUUGUCCGGAAUUAUUGGGCGUAAAGGGCUCGCANGCGGUUUCUUAAGUCUGAUGUGAAAGCCCCCGGCUCAACCGGGGGGGUCAUUGGAAACUGGGAAACUUGAGUGCAGAAGAGGAGAGUGNAAUNCCACGUGUAGCGGUGAAAUGCGUAGAGAUGUGGAGGAACACCAGUGGCGANGNGACUCUCNNGUCUGUAACUGACGCUGAGGAGCGAAAGCGUGGGGAGCGACAGGAUUANAUNCCCUGGUAGUCCACNCGUAAACGAUGAGUGNUANUGUUGGGGGUUCCGCCCUUAUGCUGCANCUAACGCAUUAGCACUCGCUGUGUCCAUGGCCCACGNGGGUAAAAUGNUUAGGUGUGUUUCUCCCCCCCUCCCGCCCGCCNCGGGGGUCCACNANGAAGGGUAAACNAAUUGCAGAUAUGGUUGGGGNAAGUUAGGGUUAAAGAGGANAGGACUUGGUUUGUUGCUUUAAUNANCCGGGCGGGACGCCCUUCUUUGUUUUCCCCCCGCCCGAGGUUAUUGCUUAAUGCUUGGGCUAA